rnacentral:lncRNA from 1 species
CAGUGUUUUUCGCAUAAAGUUCUUGCGCUGGGGCUGUGGUGGUCCUCCCUUUCUUCACAUCGUUCUUGUGCUCUCCGGGUCUUUCUGCGGGGGCCCUUCCUGUCGCUCCGAUGUGCUCUUUUUCUUGGCCUGUGUCUUUGUCUUCUGACAGUGUGGUGUGUGCUCCUGCUUUUUCCAUGUCCUUCAACUUAUCCUUGCUGUUUCUCAACCAUGAGAGGGUCGUGGAGUUUCUUGUGGUGGUGAUCUUUUUGUUUGUCAAUUUUGCUGCUUUUUUGGCUACUGGAAGGUUGGCCAAGUGGUGGGGCACUGCAGUGUGUGGGCUUCCUGGGUUUUCAUUGGUGGUCGUGCUGUCAUCGGAUGGG